UCAGCUCGUGCCGUGAGGUGUCGGGUUAAGUCCAUAACGAGCCGCAACCCCUACCUUUAGUUGCCAUCAGGUAAUGCUGGGGACUCUAAAGGAACUGCCUACGCAAGUAGUGAGGAAGGCGGGGAUGGACGUCAAAUCAGCACGGCCCUUACGUCCAGGGCUACACACGUGCUACAAUGGCCGAUACAGAGGGCAGCUACCUGGUGACAGGAUGCAAAUCUACCAAAGUCGGUCUCAGUUCGGAUCGGAGUCUGCAACCCGACUCCGUGAAGUUGGAUUCGCUAGUAAUCGCGCAUCAGCCAUGGCGCGGUGAAUACGUUCCCGGGCCUU
rnacentral:rRNA from 1 species